AUUGAACGCUGGCGGCAUGCCUUACACAUGCAAGUCGAGCGCGAAAGGGGGCAACCCCGAGUAGAGCGGCGGACGGGUGAGUAACGCAUCGGAACGUGCCCAGUAGUGGGGGACAACCUCGAGAAAUCGAGGCUAAUACCGCAUACGACCCACGGGUGAAAGCGGGGGACCGCAAGGCCUCGCGCUAUUGGAGCGGCCGAUGUCCGAUUAGCUAGUUGGCGGGGUAANAGCCCACCAAGGCGACGAUCGGUAGCUGGUCUGAGAGGACGACCAGCCACACUGGGACUGAGACACGGCCCAGACUCCUACGGGAGGCAGCAGUGGGGAAUUUUGGACAAUGGGGGCAACCCUGAUCCAGCCAU
rnacentral:rRNA from 1 species